rnacentral:snoRNA from 1 species
AGCUUCCUAGUACUUAGCACAGGCUGUGUUCUUACGCUGACUGCAUAGAAAGAGGAGAUGGACUAAACCCCAUAUACACUCCAGCCCAGGCUCUGUGUCUCAGCUAUAUAAACAGGGAAACAUGG